rnacentral:lncRNA from 1 species
GGCAGAGGGGAAGGGAGAGAGCAUUCCCCAUAAAGGAAUAGCAGAGGCUUCUGGAUAGUCCAGGCCCGUGUUUCCAAGUCAUUAAAAACGCCACAGACCUGAGACUACAACAGAAGGCUCAAGGAUGAAAGAUUCUGCAAAACACUCUCAGCAGAAUAAACAGCAAAUGGCUUCUAUGACUCAAGAAUUUUCAUGACAUCAGCCAUCCCAAGACGGUUUAGGGUCAGAAUAUUUAAAGUCUUCUCACAACUGGUGAAAGUUGGAACUCAAAUAACUGCUCAAGUCCGCAGAGGUCCCGGAUGCAGUCAUCACAAGGGCAUCUGUUUCUGCAGAGAGCACACGAGAAGCAACCUGCCAAAUCGACUGCAGGCACAGAAGAGCAAGGGCGCCCUUAUGUCUCCACCUCUCACACCCACGUGUCUUCAACAGUAAGAUAGGGAAGGGCUGGGCUCCCUGAGGCAGAGCCUGAGACAGAAUUCAGGGGUCCGGGAUCCACUGAGAGGGUCCUUGAAAGGAAGAAGCUGCAGGAGCUGAGGGAAGCAGGCUGGGUGGAGAGGACAGUGGCCUCCUGCAAAGAGGCUUCUGUUGGCCCAGGGCAAUUCUCUGGAGAAAGGGAAGCUGUGCGAUAUUCGCAGCCGACACUCCUGGAAGCUGGGGAAGUGGCCUGCCAGAGGGGUCCAGGCUGGGCGGUGUCCACUCCAGUAGCUCCUUGAGCGCCACACCCAUCUUUAAAUAGCAGUUCCUGUUGGCAGUCAGCUCAGCCCAUUACUUUCGCGCAGUCCUCAUGAUUUGUACAGCCAACAUCUAGAAAACCAUUUGGUUUUUCUACCAAACAAAUCUCAUCUCAAUCGCCAAGAUGCAGAUCGGUUUCUGAGACACUGCGCAUCUCCUGUGCUAGCAGCAACACCAAAAUAAGGGGACGUGGAUCGGCACUGGGCUGUGGCAUGGGCCUCCAGUUUGCCUUCAGAAAUGAACUUCCUUCAGAUCCCAGGAAAUCUGGGGAGUAAGAGAGAAACAGAAUGAAAGUUCGAGAAGGGGACAGAAAGUGUCUUCUCUCAAACCGUAAAUCAUAGAAAUUGAA